AAUAUUGGGCAAUGCCCGCAAGGGUGACCCAGCAACGCCGCGUGGAGGAUGAAUGUCGUAAGAUUGUAAACUCCUGUUAGAGGGGAAGAAUAGUACCGGUUGGACCGGUAUAUGACUGUACCCUCAGAGAAAGCCCCGGCUAACUACGUGCCAGCAGCCGCGGUAAUACGUAGGGGGCAAGCGUUGUCCGGAUUUACUGGGUGUAAAGGGCGCGCAGGCGGGAUAAAAAGUCAGUGGUGAAAUCCUACAGCUUAACUGUAGAACUGUCUUUGAUACUUUUAUUCUUGAGUUCGGGAGAGAGAGACGGAAUUCCAGGUGGAGUGGUGAAAUACGUAGAUAUCUGGAAGAACACCAGUUGCGAAGGCGGUCUCUUGGUCCGACACUGACGCUGAGGCGCGAAAGCGUGGGGAGCAAACG
rnacentral:rRNA from 1 species